UGUGUGCGGUUUCUACCAGCAAAACAAACUAGCAGGACAGAAGUGACAGCGUCAGAAAGAAAACAAUGCUGUUCCGAUUGCUGAUGGAGACAACAGAGGAAGGUGCCAAGUAACUCUGGAGGAUAUUCUCGCCAUGACGAAUCGAGCUGGUAUCAACGUUCUUCGAAGUUGAAUCGGAGAUUAUAGCCAAAACUCGCAGGAACACAUAGCUUUCAAUUGAGAAAUGCUGUACACAGCGCCCAGCGCCCUGGGAGCUGAACGUCUGCGGCCAGGUUACAGUACAGAAGGGUCAUCCAAGGUGCAUCAUGACCCUCAUCCAUCUCCACCAUACCAUAUGCUGGAUGGAGUCAGAGUCUCUACAUUGACUUAUCAUCUUGUGUUAUAUUGAGUAAUUACAAUGAAGUUAUAAAUCUAGUUGGUAAUACUACACAUAAUUUGACAUUACACAUCUUAGGUGCAUUGUGGGGACCCCUUAUUGGACCAAAUGUAGCUGGUUCGAAUCCCUCCUGACCUCUCCCUACAUCUCCAUCCAUGGCUGAAGUGCCCUUGAGCAAGGCACCUAACCCCACAUUGCUCCAGGGACUGUAACCAAUACCACUUUUGGUAAAUGAAAGCGUCAGCUAAGUGCAAUGCAUUUUUUUUAAAAAAUGCAAUGAAAUGAAAAUGUAAUAUUCCAUGUCUUUUGAUAACAUUUGUAAAUUAAUUUCAUGCAUCAUUCCAUUGUAACAAUCAUAGGGACACUUUCUCAACUUCCACCUGCACAAUAUCUUGGACUCACAGGAAGAGAUUAUCUACAUAAAUCAAAAGACACCGCACACUGCUUACCAUUCUUUUUCUUACUUUAUUUUGACACACAGGGCAAAAUGCGUUGUUAGCUCAGAAAAAUGAAGGAAGAAAAAGAACAAUAAGCAGUGUGAAAUGUCUUUUGAAUUUUGUUCAUUGUUCACCUUCUCCUGCCUCACAUCAGCACCUGCAUUGCUGAGGGCUUGUGCACAAGGACUCUCUUGAACUUAGGUCAUCAAUA